CCGGCCGAUGCCGGGCACUCACACCCGGGCCCGGGGGGCUGGGGGGCCUGGGGGCCCGGGGUCCAGCACCCGGUGGUGCACAGGCAGCGGGUGGGGAGCGACGCCUCGCUUCGAAAUUGUCUCUACUGCCUUUCCCGCCAUCAGAGAACCCCGAAAGGCCUGGAAGAAACCCCACUGUGGGCGGGGCCUGAGACCUUCUCCUGAAGGGUCGGGAGCAGGCUCGGCAGACAUCAAGCUCCAUUUUUGUGCUAUCCGUCCAGCAUCUUCCACACUGCCAGGCACAGACAGACCAGGUUUCUGAAAUAACUGGUGGAGGAACACUCAGGACAGUCCUUUGGGGGUAGAUUUGAUCAUCCCAUUGAGACAUGGGACUUGCUGAGGAGCACAGAAUGAAGAUACAGAAUGGAAGUGGACACCCCCCCCACCCUCGGAUUUGUGACUCAGUUUGGAGUGGGACCCUUCUAGUAAGUUCUCUGGUCAUUCUGAUGCUCCUGGUCUGGGACUUUGAGAACCAAUGAUGUUGAAGUCUUGAAGCUCAUCCCAGCUGCAUCUGACUUCAAAGCCUCCAUGAUCUAUGAGAUCCACUGGGGUGUAGGGUCAGCUGGACCUUAUGAGCACCUCUGGGAGAGGGGUACUGUCCCCGGUGGUUGUGCCUAUCAGAACACUAUGUGCCUGAGUCAAAUGUUGGGGUGACCUAUGGACAGAAGACCCCGAAACACUGGGUGGAGAUCAUCGGUAGGGACAGUCCUUUCCUCCCACACCCCCCCCCCACUCCACCCACACACACAGACUCACUUGCUGUGCCCAGGAGUUAAAUUACUGCCUGAUCUUAUCCCUGACUUGUGCUAAAUUA